UUGACUUUGUUAAAAUUUUGA
ensembl:piRNA 21ur-8724 ncRNA